GCAGAGUUCUACCCUAUGUGUGCUUUGAGGUGAAGGAAAACAUCCUCGUAGCUCACAGAGGAAAUCACAAAUCCACGCCAUCUGCACUAAGAUUUUGAGGAUUUAACCUUGGAAGUGUCCACGAGAGGCCAAGGAAAAUAAUGAAUUAAUUUACAUCUUGGAGUACAAGGAGACCUGAGCUGGAUUAGGAUUGAUUUAGGAUGGACUCAUGCUGCAGCAAUGGGAAUGGAACAGAUUUAAGUUGGAAUCAGACCUGGAAUUCUGGGGUCUAAAACCCACCCUUGAAUCCGGAAGCAGCAAAUAUCCUUGGAGUCACAGCCAGUCAGGGAAAAGCUCCAUUUUUCUCAUUUUUUUGGCCUCAAAUGCCUAUUGCAGUUGUCCCAACAUCCUGACUUGAGCAAGUGGCUUCCACCUGCACACCAGGCCUUUUUUGGAAUACAGUCCCUAAAA